rnacentral:rRNA from 1 species
AUUGAACGCUGGCGGCAGGCCUAACACAUGCAAGUCGAACGAGUGGCGGACGGGUGAGUAAUGUCUGGGAAACUGCCCGAUGGAGGGGGAUACCUACUGGAAACGGUAGCUAAUAACGCAUACCAUCGGAUGUGCCCCGAUGGGAUUAGCUAGUAGGUGGGGGAACGGCUCACCUAGGCGCCGAUCCCUAGCUGGUCUGAGAGGAUGACCGUCCACACUGGAACUGAGACACGGUCCAGACUCCUACGGGAGGCAGCAGUGGGGAAUAUUGCACAAUGGGCGCAAGCCUGAUGCAGCCAUGCCGCGUGUAGGAAGAAGGCCUUCGGGUUGUAAAGUACUUUCAUCGGGGAGGCGUUACCCGCAGAAGAAGCACCGGCUAACUCCGUGCCAGCAGCCGCGGUAAUUC